CAGUAGCCGCGGGAAUACGUAGGUGGCAAGCGUUGUCCGGAAUUAUUGGGCGUAAAGGGCUCGCAGGCGGUUUCUUAAGUCUGAUGUGAAAGCCCCCGGCUCAACCGGGGAGGGUCAUUGGAAACUGGGAAACUUGAGUGCAGAAGAGGAGAGUGGAAUUCCACGUGUAGCGGUGAAAUGCGUAGAGAUGUGGAGGAACACCAGUGGCGAAGGCGACUCUCUGGUCUGUAACUGACGCUGAGGAGCGAAAGCGUGGGGAGCGAACAGGAUUAGAGACCCGCGUAGUCCCUGUCUCUUAUAC
rnacentral:rRNA from 1 species